rnacentral:miRNA from 1 species
CAAGGUGGCCUAGCAGCGUGUU